CUGGAAGGAUCUUUUCCUAGGUGUGUCAAGAAGAGGUAUUUGGAUAGACGUGUUGCUUGAGAGUCAAGGUUCUAACCAUGCAUAGUGGGACGCAGGUGUUUUGGCAAAUUAUGUUUCUUCGUAUGGAAUGACCCUCAGACAGAGUAGUGAGAUUAUCUAAAAAGAAAUGUAAGGAAAAUUUCAUCCCCUGGUUGGUAUAGUUUUGGACACGUUGUUUCCGUGGUGAUCAGAAAGAAUUCGAGGACGAAUUCAAUUUAAGGGGGGGAGAAUGUAAUAUCCCGAUUCUUCGACCCAGGUAAUUGUCAUUUAAUCGAUAAUUGGUAUGCACAAUAGACUUAUUCUAUAAUAAACUAAGGAGGAUUAUUAUAAGAGUAAGUGGAUUAGUAGAAGAAAAAUCCAAAAGUUAGUUGGAAUAGAAGGAUAUUGGUUAGAAACCAAUAAGAUGGCAACUUUGUGAUUAUGGCAUAGUUAGAGGGCAUUUUGGACAAUAGACAUCUUGCAUGAGUCAUAAGGAGUUGUUUGGAUGGAGGGAUGUAUAUCUUUGUUAGAGAAUCAUUUCUUUUGGAGAAUAAAGGGAUUAGAGCCAAGAAGAACUCAUAACUCAAGUUCCAUUUUCGUAUUCCAUGGCAGCCUCCACUAAAUCAGCUUCUGUUUUGAAGGAGAAAAACGAGUUUGAAGUUGUGUCAGUUAUGCUGAAUGUGUGUUAUGGAGAGCUACGGAUUUCUUGAUGAUGGAGAUGGAAGUUUGAGCAAGAGGGAGAUGCAAUAGUAACAAGAGCACCAUCUUAACCUCCAUUUGAUCCAAGGUGAGUCCUUAGUUAGAGACUUGGGGAAAAUUUGUGGGAAAUUGCAUGUUGGGGUUUUGGGUGUGAGUGAUAACUCUAUAAAUCCAUAGUGAUAAAUGUGAUUAAUUACUAAUUGGUGAUUUUAUGUAAUGCAUGCUUGAUUUAAUGCUUAGAUUGUGUUUUAUGUA